AUGUAUCCCCACACACCCCGGGUCCUCCGCGCCGUCCGCACUCACCUGACGACUGCGCGCUACGUUGUUGUUAGGC
rnacentral:sRNA from 1 species